GAUGAACGCUGGCGGCGUGCCUAAUACAUGCAAGUCGAGCGAACAGACGAGGAGCUUGCUCCUUCGACGUCAGCGGCGGACGGGUGAGUAACACGUAGGUAACCUACCUAUAAGACUGGGAUAACUUCGGGAAACCGGAGCUAAUACCGGAUAAUAUUUCGAACCGCAUGGUUCGAUAGUGAAAGAUGGCUUUGCUAUCACUUAUAGAUGGACCUGCGCCGUAUUAGCUAGUUGGUAAGGUAACGGCUUACCAAGGCAACGAUACGUAGCCGACCUGAGAGGGUGAUAGGCCACACUGGAACUGAGACACGGUCCAGACUCCUACGGGAGGCAGCAGUAGGGAAUCGUCCGCAAUGGGCGAGAGCCUGACGGAGCAACGCCGCGUGAGUGAUGAAGGUCUGCGGAUCGUAAAACUCUGUUAUUAGGGAAGAACAAGCGUGUAAGUAACUGUGCACGUCUUGACGGUACCUAAUCAGAAAGCCACGGCUAACUACGUG
rnacentral:rRNA from 1 species